AUGAACGCUGGCGGCGUGCCUAAUACAUGCCAGUCGAGCGAACAGACGAGGAGCUUGCUCCUCUGACGUUAGCGGCGGCCGGGGGAGUAACACGUGGAUAACCUACCUAUAAGACUGGGAUAACUUCGGGAAACCGGAGCUAAUACCGGAUAAUAUAUUGAACCGCAUGUUUCAAUAGUUAAAGACGGUUUUGCUGUCCCUUAUAGAUGGAUCCGCGCCGCAUUAGCUAGUUGGUAAGGUAACGGCUUACCAAGGCAACGAUGCGUAGCCGACCUGAGAGGGUGAUCGGCCACACUGGAACUGAGACACGGUCCAGACUCCUACGGGAGGCAGCAGUAGGGAAUCUUCCGCAAUGGGCGAAAGCUUGACGGAGCAACGCCGCGUGAGUGAUGAAGGUCUUCGGAUCGUAAACCUCUGUUAUUAGGGAAGAACAAAUGUGUAAGUAACUAUGCACGUCUUGACGGUACCUAAUCAGAAAGCCACGGCUAACUACGUG
rnacentral:rRNA from 1 species